rnacentral:rRNA from 1 species
AAUUAGAGGAAGUAAAAGUCGUAACAAGGUCUCCGUUGGUGAACCAGCGGAGGGAUCAUUACCGAGUACUAUAACUCAUAACCCUUUGUGAACCUUCAUACCUGUUGCUUCGGCGGCGCGCCUCUCGGGGCGUGCCCGCCGGCAUUAUCAGAAUCUCUGUUCGAACCCGACGAUACUUCUGAGUGUUCUAAGCGAACUGUUAAAACUUUCAACAACGGAUCUCUUGGCUCCAGCAUCGAUGAAGAACGCAGCGAAACGCGAUAUGUAAUGUGAAUUGCAGAAUUCAGUGAAUCAUCGAAUCUUUGAACGCACAUGGCGCCUUCCAGUAUCCUGGGAGGCAUGCCUGUCCGAGCGUCGUUUCAACCCUCGAGCCCCCGUGGCCCGGCGUUGGGGACCUGCCCAGGCAGUCCCCGAAAACCAGUGGCGGACCCGACGGGCCCUUCCUUUGCGUAGUAACAUCUGCCUCGCAUCGGGAGCCCCCGGGCUAUCCGGCCUCUAAACCCCCCUCAAGCCCGCUCCGGCGGCACCAAGGUUGACCUCGGAUCAGGUAGGAAUACCCGCUGAACUUAAGCAUAUCAAUAAGGCGGAGGA